GACGAACGCUGGCGGCGUGCUUAACACAUGCAAGUCGAACGGGAAGGCCCUGCUUUUGUGGGGUGCUCGAGUGGCGAACGGAUGAGUAACACGUGAGUAACCUGCCCUUGACUUUGGGAUAACGUCAGGAAACUGUAGCUAAUACCGGAUAGGAGCUCCUGCUGCAUGGUGGGGGUUGGAAAGUUUCGGCGGUUGGGGAUGGACUCGCGGCUUCUCAGCUUGUUGGUGGGGUAGUGGCUGACCAAGGCUUUGACGGGUAGCCGGCCUGAGAGGGUGACCGGCAACAUUGGGACUGAGGUAAGGCCCAGACUACUACGGGAGGAAGCAGUGGGGAAUAUUGCACCAUGGGCGGAAGCCUGAUGCAGCAACGCCGCGUGCGGGAUGACGGCCUUCGGGUUGUCAUCCGCUUUCGCCUGUGACGAAGCGUGAGUGACGGUAAUGGGUAAAGAAGCACCGGCUAACUACGUG
rnacentral:rRNA from 1 species